UCGCUCACCGUGUCGCCUGCAGUCACGAUKACCCUUCGGGGUGMKMUUAUGGCGAACGGGUGAGUAACACGUGGGCAAUUGCMARCACUCUGGGACAAGCCCUGGAAACGGGGUCUAAUACCGGAUACGAGUCUGGGAGGCAUCUCCUGGACUGGAAAGCUCCGGCGGUGAAGGAUGAGCCCGCGGCCUAUCASCUUGUUGGUGGGGUAAUGGCCUACCAAGGCGACGACGGGUAGCCGGSCUGAGAGGGCGACCGGCCACACUGGGACUGAGACACGGCCCAGACUCCUACGGGAGGCAGCAGUGGGGAAUAUUGCACAAUGGGCGAAAGCCUGAUGCAGCGACGCCGCGUGAGGGAUGACGGCCUUCGGGUUGUAAACCUCUUUCAGCAGGGAAGAAGCGAAAGUGACGGUACCUGCAGAAGAAGCGCCGGCUAACUACGUGCCAGCAGCCGCGGUAAUACGUAGGGCGCAAGCGUUGUCCGUUAAUUAUUGGGCGUAAAGAGCUCGUAGCGGSKUGKGSASGGUCGGGGKGUGAAAGCCCGGGGCUUAACCCCGGGUCUGCMUCCGAUACGGGCAGGCUAGAGUGUGGUAGGGGAAGAUCGAAAUUUCCUG
rnacentral:rRNA from 1 species